GUAGAGCAGUCUGGGAGCUCGCAGGGCUCAUAACCCUGAGGUCGAGGGUUCAAAUCCUUCCCC
rnacentral:ncRNA from 13 species